rnacentral:rRNA from 1 species
CAUGCAGUCGUACGCUUCUUUUUCCACCGGAGCUUGCUCCACCGGAAAAAGAGGAGUGGCGAACGGGUGAGUAACACGUGGGUAACCUGCCCAUCAGAAGGGGAUAACACUUGGAAACAGGUGCUAAUACCGUAUAACAAUCGAAACCGCAUGGUUUUGAUUUGAAAGGCGCUUUCGGGUGUCGCUGAUGGAUGGACCCGCGGUGCAUUAGCUAGUUGGUGAGGUAACGGCUCACCAAGGCCACGAUGCAUAGCCGACCUGAGAGGGUGAUCGGCCACAUUGGGACUGAGACACGGCCCAAACUCCUACGGGAGGCAGCAGUAGGGAAUCUUCGGCAAUGGACGAAAGUCUGACCGAGCAACGCCGCGUGAGUGAAGAAGGUUUUCGGAUCGUAAAACUCUGUUGUUAGAGAAGAAUAAGGAUGAGAGUAACUGUUCAUCCCUUGACGGUAUCUAACCAGAAAGCCACGGCUAACUACGUGCCAGCAGCCGCGGUAAUACGUAGGUGGCAAGCGUUGUCCGGAUUUAUUGGGCGUAAAGCGAGCGCAGGCGGUUUCUUAAGUCUGAUGUGAAAGCCCCCGGCUCAACCGGGGAGGGUCAUUGGAAACUGGGAGACUUGAGUGCAGAAGAGGAGAGUGGAAUUCCAUGUGUAGCGGUGAAAUGCGUAGAUAUAUGGAGGAACACCAGUGGCGAAGGCGGCUCUCUGGUCUGUAACUGACGCUGAGGCUCGAAAGCGUGGGGAGCAAACAGGAUUAGAUACCCUGGUAGUCCACGCCGUAAACGAUGAGUGCUAAGUGUUGGAGGGUUUCCGCCCUUCAGUGCUGCAGCUAACGCAUUAAGCACUCCGCCUGGGGAGUACGACCGCAAGGUUGAACU